CAAGAGGCAACAAAUUAAGUCUAUUCAUACAUGAGUUUUGAGGAAUCUCAGUGCUUGCACAAGGUGUCCCAAAGUCUACGAACAACAGCUCAGAUUCCUGGCGCUUUAGAUGCUCCUGCCUUCCAUCACGACUCAUCAUAUCUCUUUUCAGUGGAGCAAUCUGCUCUUUAUGAGCUUGAAUUCUGUCCAUAUAGCUCCACGUACCAUUGGGUUAUGCCCCCUGAUUGUCG
rnacentral:lncRNA from 1 species